rnacentral:rRNA from 1 species
AACGAACGCUGGCGGCGUGGAUAAGACAUGCAAGUCGAACGGGACUAAAUCUGUAGCAAUACAGGUUUAGUUUAGUGGCGAACGGGUGCGUAACACGUGGGCAAUCUGCCGAGAAGUAGGGGAUAGCUCGCCGAAAGGCGAAUUAAUACCGCAUAUGAUCAGGGACGACAUCUUCCCAACAUCAAAGCCGGGGUAACCUGGCGCUUCUUGAUGAGCCCGCGGCCUACAGCUAGUUGGUGAGGUAACGGCUCACCAAGGCUAUGACGGGUAGCUGGUCUGAGAGGACGACCAGUCACACUGGAACUGAGACACGGUCCAGACACCUACGGGUGCAGCAGUCGAGUAAUUUUUCUCAAGUGGGGGAAACCCUGAAGGAGCGACGCCGCGUGGAGGAU